UACGAAGGGGGCUAGCGUUGCUCGGAAUCACUGGGCGUAAAGCGCACGUAGGCGGCUUUUUAAGUCAGAGGUGAAAUCCUGGAGCUCAACUCCAGAACUGCCUUUGAUACUGGAGAGCUUGAGUCCGGGAGAGGUGAGUGGAACUGCGAGUGUAGAGGUGAAAUUCGUAGAUAUUCGCAAGAACACCAGUGGCGAAGGCGGCUACCUGGUCUGGCAUUGACGCUCAUGUGCGAAAGCGUGGGGAGCAAACAGG
rnacentral:rRNA from 1 species